rnacentral:tRNA from 1 species
GCAUCCGUAGCUCAGCUGGAUAGAGUAUUCGGCUACGAACCGAGCGGUCGGAGGUUCGAAUCCUCCCGGAUGCA